rnacentral:rRNA from 1 species
UGGGGAAUUUUGGACAAUGGGGGAAACCCUGAUCCAGCCAUCCCGCGUGUGCGAUGAAGGCCUUAGGGUUGUAAAGCUCUUUCACCGGUGAAGAUAAUGACGGUAGCCGGAGAAGAAGCCCCGGCUAACUUUGUGCCAGCAGCCGCGGUAAUACGAAGGGGCUAGCGUUGUUCGGAAUUACUGGGCGUAAAGCGCACGUAGGCGGACUGGUCAGUUAGGGGUGAAAUCCCAGGGCUUAACCCUGGAACUGCCUUUAAUACUGCCGGUCUGGAGUUCGAGAGAGGUGAGUGGAAUUCCGAGUGUAGAGGUGAAAUUCGUAGAUAUUCGGAGGAACACCAGUGGCGAAGGCGGCUCACUGGCUCGAUACUGACGCUGAGGUGCGAAAGCGUGGGGAGCAAACAGGAUUAGAUACC